CUGGCAGGCCCCGAUCCGGCUGGAUUUGGGGCAAAGCCACCCCGUACAGGUGGUGAAGAACGGGGAGACCACCAGUAGGGUCGAGGAGAACUGCAUCUCUCCUCUCCAGCUGACCAUUACUCCCUUUCCUGAAGGCGGUUGCA